rnacentral:lncRNA from 1 species
UAUAAUUUGAUCUCCAAUGAGUCUGAUUUGGAAUCUUAGUGUUCCUUAAAACUUAUUAUAAUGUGUUCCUAAGGAGAAAGACUGUAUUCUCGGUCUUGAUGUCUCAAUAUAUUGACACUUCAAGACAUGGCUGCUGCUAAAAUCAACAUAUCAAGGCCUAGAAUGUUCAUGGAAGCUAGCAUAAAAGGUAAUGAUAAUAAUAAAUCCUACAUACAAUCAACAUCUAAGCCCAAAUUGGGGAUGAGCAGGCUACCUAGAAAGCUUCUCAGCUGUUUUGAUCAAGUUUUUCUUCCUAGGUUGCAGUUAUCGAGUAUCUUUCUCAGUAAACUUUUGUUGUAGUCAAUGCUUAUAUAUGAGUAGAAAAUCUCUCAAUUUUAAUGUCCCUCAUAAUUUUGAUUAUCUUUGCAUUCUUUUGCUUGACAUGUAAGCAAUAUGCUAUUACAUUCUCUACACCUAUGGCAGGUUUUUAAUUCACUUGACCAUACUCCUAACGCAGAGGCUAGGACUCUGAGAAUAUAAACAGACUCAGGAGUAGUUCCAGUGGAACUUUACUAAUUAUUAAGGCACCUCUUAACCUCUUGAGGUUGGCCUGAUGGAGAUAAAUCAUGUUUCUCCUUAAUGCCACUACGAGAGAGAAUACUAGGCCGGAAGAGCUGUAGGUUAUAGCCAGUGGCACUGAUUGUGUUCACACCCAUCUGAGAGGAAGAAGGCAGGGUCAGGCCUAAUGGGCAAUCUGACUGCUUAUACAUUUGGUCCUUUUGAAAUAAAUGAGAAAAAUAUAAAUGUAAAAAUUUUAGAAUUUCUAUGUUUUAAUUUCCCAGAAUAAAUCUGGUUACUGGGUAGGGCUGCAGAUUAGUAAUUAUUUAGAAGGCAAGAUGAAAUGUAUUGUUUGACUUCUGUUCAGUGUUUAUUUCAUCUUGAACAUAGGAAAAAUUAGUGGCUUUCUAAACUUUUAAAGUUAACUACCCAGACUGAAGAGUUUUAGAACAAGAAAAUGUCAACAGUCUCUUGUGUUGCUGACACAUUAAAACCAGUGAUCAUAUAUCGUCCUUGUC